CCUCUUCCUGAUUCGUGCAGGGGGCACGCUUCUCCCGCUCUCCUGCUGGCCCUUCUGGACGCUAAUUCCAUCCCAACUCUGGAAUUCUUUAUCAAGCCAUGCCACCUGCCAGGCACUGCUCCAAGCACUUGGUGAACCAGAUGAACAAGACAGACCAGGUCCUGCCCUCAGAGAACAGCACGAGAGAAAACAAUGAAUGAGAAGUGAACGCACCAGGAAGGCCUCUUCAGUAGGGAUAACUGCUGUGGACACAUCAAAACAAGCCAUUGUCCUAUUCUCAUGAAUCCUGUCUUAGCAAGCCUUCUCCAUGGCGAGAGAAAGGCAAGCAGGCUUGGCCACCUGGCUGGGGAGCUCGGGAAAACGCAGAUGCUUGGGUCUCACUGAGUCCCCCGGGCUCAGAUCUCCAGCUCUCAGUAGGCCAUGAAGAGUGUCGUCUGGUUCAUGGUGUCGGCUGGGCAGUGUGGCCCAGAGUUCCACUUCCUCCGAGGGCACAGUGAUUCUGCAGAGUGCACUGUUUUCCAUUGCAAAGUCCUUAACAACAGACGUGCUGUCUCCAUCGGCAGGCUGCGACCCUGGCUCCGUCUGCAGAAGCCAUGUAUUAGAAAACACCUGCUCAUAGCUGGCAGCUUGGUCUGGAAAAGGGGGAGCAUUGAAAGUGUCAUUCGGGACCAGCUCUUCCAAGUCUUCCCAGGAAGGUGCUGCUGACCACCUUCUGGAAGCCACCCCUCCAGCAGGAUUCCUGGCCAGGUUUCCUAGAAGAGCGGUACGGCUGAG